rnacentral:rRNA from 1 species
AUUGAACGCUGGCGGCAGGCCUAACACAUGCAAGUCGAGCGGAGCGGCGGACGGGUGAGUAAUGCCUAGGAAUCUGCCUGGUAGUUGGGGAUAACGUCCGGAAACGGGCGCUAAUACCGCAUACUAUCAGAUGAGCCUAGGUCGGAUUAGCUAGUUGGUGGGGUAAAGGCCUACCAGGGCGACGAUCCGUACCUGGUCUGAGAGGAGGGUCAGUCAAACUGUAACUGAGACACGGUCCCUCAUCCUACGGGAGGCAUCAGUGGGGAAUAUGGGACAAUGGGCGAAAGCCGGAUCCAGCCAUGCCGCGUGGGUGAAGAAGGUCUUCGGAUUGUAAAGCACUUUAAGUUGGGAGGCGUUACCAACAGAAUAAGCACCGGCUAACUUCGUGCCAGCAGCCGCGGUAAUUC